AUGGACCGGCGGUGCUCUCGCGCACCUGCACCGGCCUCCGCGCCCCGGAGGAGGAGGUCGACGAUGGAGGCGCCGUCAAGGGUGAACACUGGCUCGAGGGUGCUGCUAUGGGAUGCCUUCAAGAAGGUCUGCGAGCUCCAGCUGGCGACACGCCUGGUGAAGUUCAGCCGCAUUGGACCAGCAGGAUCCUCAGCUGGCUAUGAGCCGCAUGUCCCACCAGGUCUCCCUCCCCCUAUUGAUUUUGAUUUUUCCCAUCCCUUUCGUUUCCGAUUUUCCAAGCCGUUUUUAUUGCUUCUCAAUAUGCAGGUAGUACGGGUUCCAUGGACUCUUUUCAUCGGUGGAGACAGAGUGCCGGUCAGGAGCAUGGUUUGGUGCAAGAUGGAUGAAAAAAUGGUGUCUCCCUUUUAUGACUUCGGCAGGUACUGCCGGAUCCAUGUCCACAAAGGCACAGCCUACAGCGAGCGCAGCCGGCUCUUGGUUGGAGAGUAG
rnacentral:rRNA from 1 species